AUUGAACGCUGGCGGCAGGCCUAACACAUGCAAGUCGAGCGAGCGGCGGACGGGUGAGUAAUGUCUGGGAAACUGCCUGAUGGAGGGGGAUAACUACUGGAAACGGUAGGCAAUACCGCAUACCAUCAGAUGUGCCCAGAUGGGUUUAGCUUGUAGGUGGGGGAACGGCUCAACUAGGCGACGAUCCCUAGCUGGUCUGAGAGGCUGACCAGCAACACUGGAACUGGGACACGGCCCAGACUCCUACGGUGGGCAUCAUUGGGGAAUCUUGUACAAUGGCCGCAAGCCGUAUGCAGCCAUGCCGCGUGUGUGAAGAAGGCCUUCGGUUUGUAAGGCACUUUCAGCGGGGAGGCGUUACCCGCAGAAGAAGCGCCGGCUAACUCCGUGCCAGCAGCCGCGGUAAUUC
rnacentral:rRNA from 1 species